UACGUAGGGGGCUAGCGUUGUCCGGAAUCAUUGGGCGUAAAGCGCGUGUAGGCGGUCCGGUAAGUCCGCUGUGAAAGUCGAGGGCUCAACCCUCGAAUGCCGGUGGAUACUGUCGGGCUUGAGUACGGGAGAGGCGAGUGGAAUUCCUGGUGUAGCGGUGAAAUGCGCAGAUAUCACAAGGAACACCAACGGCGAAGGCAGCACUCUGGGCCGGUACUGACGCUGAGGAGCGAAAGCGUGGGGAGCAAACAGG
rnacentral:rRNA from 1 species